rnacentral:rRNA from 1 species
AGCUCCAAUAGCGUAUAUUAAAGGUGUUGCGGUUAAAAAGCUCGUAGUUGGAUUUCUGCUGAAGCAAACCGGUCCGCCCUCUGGGUGAGUAUCUGGCUUUACUUUGGCAUAUGCCCAGACUUUGCAGCUGCACUUGACUGUGUGGUGUAAAGGCUGAGCCGUUUACUUUGAGGAAAUCAGAGUGCUUCAAGCAGGCAAUUGCCUUGGAUACAUUAGCAUGGAAUAAUAUGAUAAGACUGUGGUUUUAUUUUGUUGGCUGCUAGAAUUACAGUAAUGAUUAAUAGGGAUAGUUGGGGGCAUUCAUAUUUAACUGUCAGAGGUGAAAUUCUUGGAUUUGUUAAGGAUGAACGACUGCGAAAGCAUUUGCCAAGGAUGCUU